UACGUAGGGGGGCUAGCGUUGUCCGGAUUUAUUGGGCGUAAAGAGCGUGUAGGCGGCCAAGUAGGUCCGGUGUGAAAACUCGAGGCUUAACCUCGAGAUGUCAUCGGAAACCAUUUGGCUAGAGUCCGGAAGAGGAAAGUGGAAUUCCUGGUGUAGCGGUGAAAUGCGCAGAUAUCAGGAGGAACACCUGCGGUGUAGACGGCUUACUGGACCACCACUGACGUGAGGCACGAAAGCGUGGGUAGCAAACAGG
rnacentral:rRNA from 1 species